AUGAACGCUAGCGGCAGGCCUAACACAUGCAAGGUCGAGGGGCAGCACAGGUAGCAAUACUGGGUGGCGACCGGCGGAUGGGUGCGUAACGCGUAUGCAACCUACCAUUGAUUGGGGCAUAGCCCGAAGAAAUUCGGAUUAAUACUCCAUUAAUAUUCAUCAAAGGCAUCUUUUAUGAAUUAAAGCUUUUGCGAUCAAUGAUGGGCAUGCGUGACAUUAGUUAGUUGGUGAGGUAACGGCUCACCAAAACGAUGAUGUCUAGGGGUUCUGAGAGGAUUAUCCCCCACACUGGUACUGAGACACGGACCAGACUCCUACGGGAGGCAGCAGUGAGGAAUAUUGGUCAAUGGACGCAAGUCUGAACCAGCCAUGCCGCGUGCAGGAUGACGGCCCUAUGGGUUGUAAACUGCUUUUCCACGGGAAGAACCCUCCGACGUGUCGGAGACUGACGGUACCGUGGGAAUAAGCAUCGGCUAACUCCGUG
rnacentral:rRNA from 1 species